UACGGGGGGGAGCAAGCGUUGUUCGGAUUUACUGGGCGUAAAGGGCGCGUAGGCGGCGCGGUAAGUCACUUGUGAAAUCUCUGAGCUUAACUCAGAACGGCCAAGUGAUACUGCAGUGCUAGAGUGUGGAAGGGGCAAUCGGAAUUCUUGGUGUAGCGGUGAAAUGCGUAGAUAUCAAGAGGAACACCUGAGGCGAAAGGCGGGGUUGCUAGGCUGACACUGACGCUGAAGCGCGAAAGCCAGGGGAGCAAACGGG
rnacentral:rRNA from 1 species